GACGUAGGAUGCAAGCGUUGUCCGGAUUUACUGGGCGUAAAGAGCGCGCAGGCGGUCGAUCAAGUCGCGUGUGAAAGCCCCCGGCUCAACUGGGGAGGGUCACGCGAUACUGAUCGACUCGAAGGCAGGAGAGGGUAGUGGAAUUCCCGGUGUAGUGGUGAAAUGCGUAGAUAUCGGGAGGAACACCAGUGGCGAAGGCGACUACCUGGCCUGUUCUUGACGCUGAGGCGCGAAAGCUAGGGGAGCAAACGGG
rnacentral:rRNA from 1 species